UCAGCUUUGGCGUAGUAAGAGGCGCAUCAGUCUCUCAAGCUGAAGGUCCCGAGUUCGAUCCUGGGAAGGAGGG
rnacentral:tRNA from 1 species